AACAGGAUUAGAUACCCUGCGAUAGUCCACGCUGUAAACGAUGAAUACUAGGUGUCUGGUGUCUUAAGCUAGGUGCCGCAGCUAACGCAUUAAGUAUUCCGCCUGGGGAGUACGCACGCAAGUGUGAAACUCAAAUGCUCUCCAAGAGACCCGCACAAGCAGCGGAGCAUGUGGUUUAAUUCGAAGCAACGCGAAGAACCUUACCAGGUCCCCCCAUCCUUCUGACCGACCCUUAGCCGGGUUUUCCCUUCGGGGCAGAAGAGACAGGUGGUGCAUGGUUGUCGUCAGCUCGUGUCGUGAGAUGUUGGGUUAAGUCCCGCAACGAGCGCAACCCUUGCCUUUAGUUGCCAUCAAGUAAUGUUGGGCACUCUAUAUGGACUGCCGGUGACAAACCGGAGGAAGGUGGGGAUUAUGUCAAAUCAUCAUGCCCCUCAUGAUCUGGGCUACACACGUGCUACAAUGGUC
rnacentral:rRNA from 1 species